rnacentral:lncRNA from 1 species
CUAUGUUUUUGACUUGCAUGGAAACAGGUUUAAUCUUGUUCAGCGAACAGCACAAGCAUGCACAGCUCUGGCCUUUAAUCUUCGUAGGAAGUCUGAGUUCCUUGUGGCAUUAGCUGAUUAUUCUAUUAAAUGUUUUGAUACAGUCACUAAGGAGCUGGUUAGCUGGAUGAGAGGACAUGAAUCGUCUGUGCGUUCCAUUUCUGUGCACACAUCUGGGAGAUACGCCAUUACGACUUCCUCUGAUACAGCUCAGCUCUGGGACUUGGAUACCUUCCAGAGGAAAAGGAAGCUGAACGUCCGCCAGUCCGUGGGGAUCCAGAAGGUCAGCGCCCUGGCUUGUGCUUCUCCCACCGGAGUCCUGGGCACAGGAUUCAGAGAAGUACACUAGCCAUGAAUUGUUGAAGCUUCAGUAGCUGAGUUCCCACAGCACAACACAGGCGAAGUAGUUGGGAUUAAGUGUUGCUUACGGCUAUGCUCAGAACACUGAGACUUUUAAAUUACUAUAGCUGGGAAAUGCUUACUGCUGUAACCACAGACUUUAAGAUGUCUUGGCUUAACAUUAAAACAUCUAAAACAUUUAA